CCUACGGGUGGCAGCAGUGAGGAAUAUUGGUCAAUGGACGAGAGUCUGAACCAGCCAAGUAGCGUGAAGGAUGACUGCCCUAUGGGUUGUAAACUUCUUUUAUAAAGGAAUAAAAUGAUGCACGUGUGCCUUUUUGUAUGUACUUUAUGAAUAAGGAUCGGCUAACUCCGUGCCAGCAGCCGCGGUAAUACGGAGGAUCCGAGCGUUAUCCGGAUUUAUUGGGUUUAAAGGGAGCGUAGGUGGGUUGUUAAGUCAGUUGUGAAAGUUUGCGGCUCAACCGUAAAAUUGCAAUUGAUACUGGCAGUCUUGAGUACAGUAGAGGUGGGCGGAAUUCGUGGUGUAGCGGUGAAAUGCUUAGAUAUCACGAAGAACCCCGAUUGCGAAGGCAGCUUACUAAACUGUAACUGACAUUGAUGCUCGAAAGUGUGGGUAUCAAACAGGAUUAGAUACCCCAGUAGUC
rnacentral:rRNA from 1 species